UGGGGAAUAUUGCACAAUGGGGGAAACCCUGAUGCAGCGACGCCGCGUGGAGGAAGAAGGUCUUCGGAUUGUAAACUCCUGUUGUUGGGGAAGAUAAUGACGGUACCCAACAAGGAAGUGACGGCUAACUACGUGCCAGCAGCCGCGGUAAAACGUAGGUCACAAGCGUUGUCCGGAAUUACUGGGUGUAAAGGGAGCGCAGGCGGGAAGACAAGUUGGAAGUGAAAUCUAUGGGCUCAACCCAUAAACUGCUUUCAAAACUGUUUUUCUUGAGUAGUGCAGAGGUAGGCGGAAUUCCCGGUGUAGCGGUGGAAUGCGUAGAUAUCGGGAGGAACACCAGUGGCGAAGGCGGCCUACUGGGCACCAACUGACGCUGAGGCUCGAAAGUGUGGGUAGCAAACAGGAUUAGAUACCCUGGUAGUCCACACCGUAAACGAUGAUUACUAGGUGUUGGAGGAUUGACCCCUUCAGUGCCGCAGUUAACACAAUAAGUAAUCCACCUGGGGAGUACGACCGCAAGGUUGAAACUCAAAGGAAUUGACGGGGGCCCGCACAAGCAGUGGAGUAUGUGGUUUAAUUCGACGCAACGCGAAGAACCUUACCAAGUCUUGACAUCCUGCGACGAUGCUGGAAACAGUAUUUUCCUUCGGGACGCAGAGACAGGUGGUGCAUGGUUGUCGUCAGCUCGUGUCGUGAGAUGUUGGGUUAAGUCCCGCAACGAGCGCAACCCUUACUGUCAGUUACUACGCAAGAGGACUCUGGCAGGACUGCCGUUGACAAAACGGAGGAAGGUGGGGAUGACGUCAAAUCAUCAUGCCCUUUAUGACUUGGGCUACACACGUACUACAAUGGCGUUAAACAAAGAGAAGCAAGACCGCGAGGUGGAGCAAAACUCAGAAACAACGUCCCAGUUCGGACUGCAGGCUGCAACUCGCCUGCACGAAGUCGGAAUUGCUAGUAAUCGUGGAUCAGCAUGCCACGGUGAAUACGUUCCC
rnacentral:rRNA from 2 species